rnacentral:rRNA from 1 species
CAUCUGGACUGCAUGGCGUCCAAGUACAAUAGGCCGUCAGUGGGACAUCAUAGAGGGUGACAAUCCCGUCCUUGAUGCCAAUGUGCAAGUCCGUUACGAUGGCUAUCUCAGAGAGUCGAGCAGUUUGGGAUUUGCUGCUUAAACAUGGGAGGUAGAUUCCUUCUAAAGCUAAAUACAGGCAAGAGACCGAUAGAGAACAAGUACCGCAAGGGAAAGAUGAAAUAGAACUCUGUGAAGGGAGUCAAAAGGCGUGAAAUUGUUGCGAGAGAAGCGAUUCAAGUCAGCGUAGCUAGGCCCAUCAAGCCUCUUUGUGCUUUGGACUAGCUUUGCCAGCGGUCUUGUCCCUUAGAGACUUGACUUUUUUUUAUGAUGUCCAGCCUGGUAUGCACAGGUAGCCCCUCCUCUUGGGGGGGGUGGGGCCAGUGACAUGGCUGGUGGAAUGGCUUGCAAUCGACCCGUCUUGAAACACGGACCAAGGAGUCUAACAUGUAUGCGAGUAUAAGGGUGGCAAACCCGUAUGCGCAAUGAAAGUAACUUUCGAUGAUUGAGAAUGGCCUGAUGACCAGACAAGCAAUAUUCAUGUCCCUCGUACGGCCAUUGCCCAAGUUCCGUGGUUAGAUCCCAUGAACAUGGAGUUGGAGCAUACAUGCUAGGACCCGAAAGAUGGUGAACUAUGCCUGGACAAAGCGAAGCCAAAGGAAACUCUGGUGGAGGCUUGUAGCGAUUCUGACGUGCAAAUCGAUCGUCUGAUCUGGGUAUAGGGGCGAAAGACUAAUCGAACCAUCUCAUAGCUGGUUCCUGCCGAAGUUUCCCUCAGGAUAGCAGAGACCUAGUGGAAGUUGCAUGUGGUAAAGCGAAUGAUUAUUGAUCCUGGGGCUCAAAUGGGCCUCAGUCUAUUCUCAAACUGUGAAUGCGUGCGGUUGGACUGUGCUUAGCAAUAGAAGCCCUGCCAGCAAUGCUUCAGUCUCUAGUGGGCCGUUUCUGGUAAGCAGAACUGGCGAUGCGGGAUGAACCGAAAGCGAGGUUAAAGUGCCAGAAUGCACACUAAUCAGAGAUAAAAGGUGUAUGUGCAUGGACACAGCAGGGCAGUGGCCAUGGAGGUUGGCAUCUGCUAAGGAGUGUGUAACAACUCACCUGCCUAAUGUACUUGCCCUGAAAAUGGAUG